CUGAACUCUGUGGGAGGAGAGGCACGAAAUCCCUGGGGUGGAAGGCAACCCCACUCCACGGGGGGGCGAAGAUGGAGCACCAGAUAGAAAAGCACAUUGUUUUCUUAGGACACCACAAGGGGAGAGGCCGUCGAAGUGAGAAUCUUAGGCUUUGUUGCUGGAGAAUGAAUGUUGGGAGUUGGAUAAUCAGCACCAAAAGUGGCAAAAAGUGAUUCAGGAAUCCAGGUUCCUUCCAUCUUCUGGCUCCUCACCUCCUACAGAACAUCCGCUGCACUGUCAAAGAUAUACAGUCUCACCAGCUUUGAUGGAUUCCUUUAAGGGUGGGGCAGAAGUAUACUGAAAGGGGAAAAGGGAUCUCUUCGUGUUCAGCCUCCACGUUGCAGAAAACAAAGAGACAUCCUGGUAAGAACGAUGAAGCAGAGAAUUGACAGUCCAGCUAUGCCACCUUGGAAUAAGAAACACAAAUGGGGAAAGGCCAGGGCUGCUAAGAGGCCUUGUUUGAACCAGAACACAACUAACAAACACAAUAAUACUAAAGGUAAUCGAUAUUAAUAAUGAUGAUUAUUAUUACUGCUAGUUAGAGGGGCCUAUGAGCUAGGUAACAGCUGUGCUCUAUUGUGGGUGUUAUAAUACAUUGGCUCCGUAUGUAAAGCCUACUUUCUGAAGCCCGCCGCAUACUGAACAGUAGGUAGGAGGUAUGGGCCAC
rnacentral:lncRNA from 13 species